UACGUAGGGUGCAAGCGUUAAUCGGAAUUACUGGGCGUAAAGCGUGCGCAGGCGGCUUUGCAAGACAGAUGUGAAAUCCCCGGGCUUAACCUGGGAAUGGCAUUGGUGACUGCACGGCUAGAGUGUGUCAGAGGGGGGUAGAAUUCCACGUGUAGCAGUGAAAUGCGUAGAGAUGUGGAGGAAUACCGAUGGCGAAGGCAGCCCCCUGGGAUAACACUGACGCUCAUGCACGAAAGCGUGGGGAGCAAACAGG
rnacentral:rRNA from 1 species